rfam:Salmo salar isolate Sally breed double haploid chromosome ssa25, whole genome shotgun sequence.
AGUAUUCACUACUGUAAGGUGCUCUGGAUAAGAGCGUCUGCUAAAUGACUAAAA